rnacentral:rRNA from 1 species
AUACGGAGGAUGCAAGCGUUAUCCGGAUUUAUUGGGUUUAAAGGGUGCGUAGGCGGAUGAUUAAGCGUGAGGUGAAAUGCCACUGCUCAACAGUGGAACUGCCUCGCGAACUGGUUGUCUUGAAUGCUCCUGCCGUGGGAGGAAUGUGUGGUGUAGCGGUGAAAUGCAUAGAGAUCACACAGAACACCGAUUGCGAAGGCGUGUCACGAAGGGGUGAGUGACUCUGAGGCACGAAAGGCUGGGGAUCAAACAGGAAUAGAUACCCUGGUAGUCCACGAAGAAAACGAUGAUAACUAGCCUGUUGGUGGUAGUGAGUCAGAGGCCCAGCGAAAGCGAUUAGUGAUCGACCCGGGGAGUACGCGCGCAAGAUUGAAACUCAUAAGAAUUGACGGGG